ACACCUGUGGGGACAUACAAGCCAAACGAGCCAACGUUCGACUGGCUGAACCUAACCUAACAUAAUAUUCUGACGGUUCUUUUGCUUCCUUUUUUGAACCUCAAAAAUAAAGGAUUACCAUGUCCCCACCCACAUUUUA
rnacentral:telomerase_RNA from 1 species